CAGACUGCGAAAAGCCUAGACUGCUGGAAGACAACAUUUGCCGAAAACAUCACUUUAAAAACAUUCUCUUUCAUUUGACCACUGAACAAAGAUCUACAAAAGGCCUAUGUGAUGACAGUGUGGAUUAUUCGAGUGAAAUUUGGCCAGCUAUAGAGAAACCUCUCCUCCCUCUCAAUGGACACCUCAUUGACCAUUAUCCCAGCUCACAACUGCCAGUCCAGCAGAAAGUCACUUUGUUGGACACUGCUGUCAUGAUGAUGAGUUGUAAAGCUUCUUCAAACAGGCCAGGAAAGUCCUGAGCAUGGAGGCUAACAAAGGCCCAUCAGUUCUGGAUCACAUGGAACUCAACUUGUCCUAUGGAGGGCUGCACCUCACAUACAGAGAACAGUACCCAUCAGCACCCCAUCUACAUCCAGCCACCUCACUAAUUUGUAGUCUGGACGAGUCAGCGCUAAGUGGCGAAAGUCAUAGCCAGUCUGCAGAUUUUGGGCAGCGUUUUUUGAAGAUUUCACAGAAAAUCACGUGGUAAAUGACAGGCACAAACUCCGAAUUUUUGGUGUCAAUUUGCAAGAUUCCGUUCAGACGGAGGAUAUCGAACAUAUUUUGAGACGAUUUAAGAUUGUUUUUAAUUGUGACGCGUCUCUUCGCAACGAGGCGCGUGUUUCUCCUCUUCCCACCCACGCAAGGAGUGUUUGUUUCCUGGAAAAUGAAACCAACAUAUCCAGCAGAGCUUUGUGAAACCGAAACUCGAAACUCAGUGAAGUUGUUGGUUAACACACUAUUUGCUGAAAUCAUCCCGUUUUUAUUCCCACCGAACAAAGUUCUACCUUCCAUUUGACCACUGGACAAAGAUUUAGUGUGGAUAAUUCUGGUGAAUUUUUGAAAAAAUGAUCUCCUCCCUCUGCGCCGCCUCAGUGGACUAUUCAUUCUCUUACCCCAGCUUUCAACCCAACACAGAAAGCAUAAUGUCAGUGAUGCAUGAACUGAAGACAAAGAACAUUGCAGACAGAAACCUUUUCUCCAACUUGGACUUUGCUGAGAGAUUCUUUAGAAACCAUCCUCUAAAACUGUCCUCCAAAUUAUUAGUCAAAGGAAAUUACUCUUGUGUACAAAUGGGUCAGAAUAACAACCAAGUUGUUACUGUAACAUCAGAAAACAAUCAAACCUAUGUCAAUGUCUGUGUCCAUGAUCAAGCUGAGAAAACAAUUACAAGUUCUUUAAUUGCGUCCAGGCACUUUUUCAACCACUCCUGCCAGGAUGAGAUUAAAUCCUGUUUUACACAGGCUCACGAAGCUGUAGCUAAAGAGGGUCUGACAAGAUUACACAUCACAUGCAGCAGGUUCUCAGUAACAUACACCACCCGAUAUAGAGGUCCAUGCGCAACCGUGGAAACUAAAUGUCAGUUAAAGCUAGAGAACCUCACUGCUGAGGGUUUACUGAACAAAAAAGUCUGGCUGCAGAAAGAGAAGCCCACAUGUCAUGGGUUGAUAGCAUGUCUAGACCAUCUCAUAAAGCAAUACCUGACCAAAAGCAGUUCUUUUUAUUACUCCUAUAGGUUCAUCAUACAUGCAGACAAAGAAAUAAUCAGAAUCACUUCAGGUGAAGAAAAAGAAAGAGAAUGUGUUUUGAUACAUGAUAAUGAAGGGGUCUCCAUGUUUCCUCCAACAUUGCAAUAAAAGUUAUGACAGCACUCCACUGCAACAUAUUCUGUGGAAAUAUCUUCACAUGCAUUUAAAUUAAAUCAUAUCAUCUUAUACCUAAUCACAUAUUCAUUACUAAUUAUAGAUUAAUUGAAAAUAUUUGCUCUCAAAAAAUAAAUCAUACAAUGGCAUUACCUUUGGAGUACAAUACAACAUACAGUAUGUAAUUUUUGUUUGUUUAUUUGUUUUUUGUGGCAAGCAAAUGUUUUUAUAGAUUUAUAUUUGCAUGAUUUCCUACACUGACAAAAAUGUGGUAGAUUCUGUCAUUCACUACUCAGAUUAUUGUUGACAUUCUUUAUAUCGUAAAAAUAGACUAUAUGUGAAUAAACAACUUCAUUAUUUGUAGUUCUUUAUCCUGCAUGUAUUUUGCCUUGGUUUUUAUAAGUUAAAGUUGAUCAUCCAGCCCGAUCUCACAGCAAUUCAUACAUAUUUUACAAGGUGGCUAAUUUGUACGAAUUUGUGAUCAUCAGAUAUGGUGUAUAUCAAUGUAAAAAAAACAAAACACUAAAUUUAAAGCAUAAUAAAACUGUAUAAAACA